GACAGAGGGUGCGAACGUUGUUCGGAAUUACUGGGCGUAAAGCGCGUGUAGGCGGCAGCGCAAGUCGGGCGUGAAAUCCCACGGCUCAACCGUGGAAGUGCACUCGAAACUGCGCAGCUAGAGUCCUGGAGAGGAAGGUGGAAUGCUUGGUGUAGAGGUGAAAUUCGUAGAUAUCAAGCGGAACACCGGUGGCGAAGGCGACCUUCUGGACAGUAACUGACGCUGAGACGCGAAAGCGUGGGGAGCAAACAGG
rnacentral:rRNA from 1 species